rnacentral:lncRNA from 1 species
AUCGAACACCACAACCUUUUGUUUUUGCGCCAAACAUGAAUCUAUGGUAGGCAAGGGGUUUUUGUCACGUGGUCCCCUGAAAAUCAAAGAAGAAAAUUGUGAUUUUUGUAGCAUGUCAGGCAAGAAAAGGCUUUCAGUUUGCUGGGUUUAGAAUUUUCUCCAGUGCAAUAGAGUUGGGAGAGAGUAUUUUAUACUGCACCGACCACUAGCAGAUAAUGGUCUCUCCAUGCCCGUACUUGCGAGUGAUGGAUGGGCAAGUAUUUCAUCUAGAGGGUAUAAAAAUUUUAUUGUACGAGAGUGAGAAGUGCUUAGAAACUUAUUCCAUGUAAUCUAUUUGUGCUAUAUAUAUAUAUACUUCUCUUCUUCUAUGAUAAUUGAAGCAACUUGUGAG